GGAGGCGUGGCUGAGUGGACUAUAGCGCCGAUCUCGAAAAUCGGUUGGGCGUAAGCCCUCACAGGUUCGAAUCCUGUCGCCUCCGCCA
rnacentral:tRNA from 1 species